AUUGAACGCUGGCGGCGUGCCUAACACAUGCAAGUCGAGCGGUAACAGGUGUAGCAAUACAUGCUGACGAGCGGCGAACGGGUGAGUAAUGCUUCGGAAUCUGCCCAAUGGUGGGGAAUAACCAGCCGAAAGGUUGGCUAAUACCGCAUACGUCCUACGGGAGAAAGCAGGGGAUCGCAAGACCUUGCGCCAAUGGAUGAGCCGAAGCCGGAUUAGCUAGUUGGUAGGGUAACGGCCUACCAAGGCGACGAUCCGUAGCUGGUCUGAGAGGACGACC
rnacentral:rRNA from 1 species